UACGAAGGGGGCUAGCGUUGUUCGGAUUUACUGGGCGUAAAGCGCACGUAGGCGGAUCGUUAAGUCGGGGGUGAAAUCCUGGAGCUCAACUCCAGAACUGCCUUCGAUACUGUAGAGCUUGAGUUCGGGAGAGGUGAGUGGAACUGCGAGUGUAGAGGUGAAAUUCGUAGAUAUUCGCAAGAACACCAGUGGCGAAGGCGGCUCACUGGCCCGAUACUGACGCUGAGGUGCGAAAGCGUGGGGAGCAAACAGG
rnacentral:rRNA from 1 species